AGCCAGACUGCUUGGGUUCAAACCCUGGCUCCCCCCUUCUUAGCUGUGGACUAACCUCUCUCCACUUUGUUUGGCAGUGAGCACUUGGUGUCAGCUCUCAUGGCUCCGUUUUUCACCAAGACUGUGUGGCUUUCCACGUUAGUUGCUCAGUUGUCAGUAGUGUAGCAGUUUGUCCAAAUAGUCCUGGUGGUGCUUUGAGUCUCCCCCACUGUUUUUAUGUUUUUGUUUUGUUUUGUGCAAUAAGGUCAUUUUAAAGGGUCUCUUCCUCCUUGUAACAAAGAGUUGAAAAUCUGAGUCUCAGAAAGUCUUAUUACAUUGGUUAUAACAAAAUCCCGUUUCUGGUUUUUUUUUUACUUUUUACUUUUUAUUUAUUUAUUAUUUUUUACUCCAUGUCCCCCCAUUCACAAUGCAGACCAGGCAAAGGGCCUGGGCUGAGGUGUACAUGGGGUGGGUUUACUCUGCCUCCUCUUUCUGUACAUGCAGUGUAAGAACACAGCCUGUGGUAAGCACUGGGAGGCCCUAAGGGAGGGUUUUCAGGAACAUGUAUAAAGG